rnacentral:rRNA from 1 species
GGAUAACCUACCCUUAGGACUGGGAUAACCCUGGGAAACUGGGGAUAAUACUAGAUAGGCAAUUUUUCCUGGAAUGGUUUUUUGUUUAAAUGUUUUUUCGCCUAAGGAUGGGUCUGCGGCCGAUUAGGUAGUUGGUUAGGUAACGGCUUACCAAGCCAUUGAUCGGUACGGGUUGUGAGAGCAAGAGCCCGGAGAUGGAACCUGAGACAAGGUUCCAGGCCCUACGGGGUGCAGCAGGCGCGAAACCUCCGCAAUGUGAGAAAUCGCGACGGGGGGAUCCCAAGUGCCAUUCUUAACGGGAUGGCUUUUCAUUAGUGUAAAGAGCUUUUGGAAUAAGGGCUGGGCAAGACCGGUGCCAGCCGCCGCGGUAACACCGGCAGCUCUAGUGGUAGCAGUUUUUAUUGGGCCUAAAGCGUCCGUAGCCGGUUUAAUAAGUCUCUGGUGAAAUCCUGUAGCUUAACUGUGGGAAUUGCUGGAGAUACUAUUAGACUUGAGACCGGGAGAGGUUAGAGGUACUCCCAGGGUAGAGGUGAAAUUCUGUAAUCCUGGGAGGACCGCCUGUUGCGAAGGCGUCUAACUGGAACGGUUCUGACGGUGAGGGACGAAAGUUAGGGGCGCGAACCGGAUUAGAUACCCGGGUAGUCCUAACUGUAAACGAUGCGGACUUGGUGUUGGGGUGGCUUUGAGCUGCUCCAGUG